UACGUAGGGUGCAAGCGUUAUCCGGAUUUAUUGGGCUUAAAGGGUUCGUAGGUGGGCUGUUAAGUCAGUGGUGAAAUCUCCAGGCUUAACUUGGAAACUGCCAUUGAUACUAUCAAUCUUGAAUACCGUAGAGGUCAGCGGAAUAUGUCAUGUAGCGGUGAAAUGCUUAGAUAUGACAUAGAACACCAAUUGCGAAGGCAGCUGGCUACACGAAUAUUGACACUGAUGCACGAAAGCGUGGGGAUCAAACAGG
rnacentral:rRNA from 1 species